AUGGUGGCACCAGCUGGGGUUCAUGUCCCACCGCAAGUUAAUUAUCCUCUGCAAGGAGGUGGUGACCAGAUGGUGGCACCAGCUGUGGUUCAUGUCCCUCCGCAAGUUAAUUAUCCUCUGCAAGGGCAUCAGGUUUUUGACAUCAGGCAUGUUGCUCAACUAAGUAGACAGCAUCAAUACUUGGAAAUGGAGAACUAUAUUAUGAGUUUUCUUGAGGGGGGAAAUUUGAGUUCACAUCCAUGGCUAUUCUUGCACAUCCGAAGGGCUUGGGCAAUAUCCUACGUACAAUAUGGAUUAUUUGAUAUCGCUCGAACCUUCUUUGCUGACAGCAUUGCAGCAGCAUUUCUGCCUAUACUGCAGCUUGAUCAGAGUGUGGUGAAGAAUGCGAUGCUUACUGACCUGAAUAGUGAAAUGAAAUACAUAUACUCGUGUGUGAAUGAUCGAAGAUGUUAUAGUCACAUUUACAACGGCGAUGGAAUGCUGGAGAAGCUGGUAAAUGAUUACCUCAUGCUUUACCUACCCAACACUAGGUUUACUACUGAAAGAGGAAAGAGCAAUGGUUUGUGGCAGUUUGCGAUCGAGCUUGAGAGGAAACACAGGCGCCCAACCUUCAGGUGUCUGGUGUGCAGCAUCGAAGUUUUCAAUGGUGGAACAAUAGGCGAUAUGGUCAAGCACUUGCAGGAGGCGUGUGCAGGACCCAAGAUGACUCCUUACCUGAUGGAGAAGUAUCCAGCUAGCAAAGUGGACCUUGAUCGUUUUCAGCUAACUACCCUUACAAUUCAAGCAAGACUUGCGGCGGCGAGUGCAAAUAAGAACCAAGGUAGGAAAAGGAGCAACACAACUGCAACCGACGAUAUUCCUGGUGGAAGCGCUACAGAGGACGCUCCUGGUGAAACGCUAGAGAGUAUUUUGCAGAGGAUGACAACAGAGGUGAAGAGAGCUGAACAAUUAGCUGCCGAGAUGGGUCAGGUUGUCAGGAAUAUGAAUGGAUGUCUAAGUGCAGCACAGGCUGCCGCUGGUACAGGAGCAAGGGACAAUCAGCUUACCAUUGCUGCGCCGCUCAAUGCACCACUACCCCCCUUUGGGAGUGCUCCUAUAUUGGACGAUGACCUUCUGGAUUUUAUUCUGGAUUAG
rnacentral:rRNA from 1 species